rnacentral:rRNA from 1 species
AAUAUUGGACAAUGGGCGAAAGCCUGAUCCAGCCAUGCCGCGUGUGUGAAGAAGGUCUUCGGAUUGUAAAGCACUUUAAGUUGGGAGGAAGGGCAGUAAGCUAAUACCUUGCUGUGUUGACGUUACCGACAGAAUAAGCACCGGCUAACUUCGUGCCAGCAGCCGCGGUAAUACGUAGGGGGCUAGCGUUGUCCGGAUUUACUGGGCGUAAAGGGUGAGUAGGCGGUUCGUUAAGUUGGAAGUGAAAGCCCCGGGCUUAACCUGGGAAUUGCUUUCAAAACUGACGAGCUAGAGUACGGUAGAGGGUAGUGGAAUUUCCUGUGUAGCGGUGAAAUGCGUAGAUAUAGGAAGGAACACCAGUGGCGAAGGCGACUACCUGGACUGAUACUGACACUGAGGUGCGAAAGCGUGGGGAGCAAACAGG